UACGGGGGGGGCAAGCGUUGUUCGGAAUUACUGGGCGUAAAGGGCGCGUAGGCGGCAUGACAAGUCGGGAGUGAAAGCCCGGGGCUCAACCCCGGAACGGCUUUCGAAACUGUCAAGCUAGAGUGCGGAAGAGGCAACUGGAAUUCCCAGUGUAGCGGUGAAAUGCGUAGAUAUUGGGAAGAACACCUGAGGCGAAGGCGGGUUGCUGGGCCGACACUGACGCUGAUGCGCGAAAGCCAGGGGAGCAAACGGG
rnacentral:rRNA from 1 species